UCCGGGGUCGGUAGUUAACGUUAUGUCGUUCCGUACUCUCGCCUACCUAGGCAUUCCGCCCAGGAAAUCCACACCAAGACUAUAAUCCAAGGGUACAAUGCUAAAGCACAAAAGGCUCUUGGGAAAGUUUUGAGUGAAAUCCCCCGGCAAAGUCCUUACUUAACUUACCUGGCUCCAGGGAAAGACAUUCUUUAGGGAACGGCCCCAAGCCAAGUGGCAUCGCGAUUUAGCUGUUGUCGAAAGGGAAGAUAGUUCUUUGAUCCGAAGCAGUUCUUGCUCAAGUUGAACCAGCUGUGAAAUAAGCGAUUGUUCAUGUUCACGAGUCAGCUCUUCUCGCUUUGCUCUUGAUGCGGCAUAACCGGUCUUAGCGAGAUCUGCUGCUAUAGAAUCAAUUGCAGUUAGCUCUAUUCCCUGACCUCGGGGAGAUGCUUCUUUCUUAUAAUAAC
rnacentral:lncRNA from 1 species